AUUGUUUCUUUCGGUUUGAAGCAUUCAUUAUCUGAAGAAGUGGAUUUUUGAAGAUUGGAAGAUUCGCGUACGGCUUUUAUCAGACCUUCUCUUUUUUCAACAGAUAAGGAUAGUUUCAAAUUUGCAACAUAGUCACGAGGUCAGUACUUUUCAACGAAGUUAUGAAAUCAGAACAAAGAAGGGGCAGAAAAAAAUUGCACCCCUGUGCCCUUGAUGAUUGCCGCCAUUAUGCUCUCUAUCGCCCUGCACCACUACCUGCUGCUUCAGUCUCUUUUCAAUACCAAUUCCAUACGACAGUUCUUCUUCUCUACAUGUUCAUGUUACCUACUCCAAUAAAAAGACAACAAAAAAAAAUCUGGAUCAAUCCUAUAAGGGCUAUUACUAAGUCUGCAGUGUUCAAGGUAAAACGGCUAAAUAGUGUCCAUCCUUCCGCUUUUUCUUGUUGUACAAACCAACUCUCAAAUGCCUCCCGCCCACACCACAGCUCACCUUCCCACCACAGGCUCACUUUGUUCAACCUUGGUGUUCUCAUUACUACUCAAUUUCUUGCGGAUGUCAUAUCCUAUUUUUGUUGCUUAAAGGGGAAGGAAAUUUUGAAAAA